CUGCUGCCUCCCGUAGGAGUUUGGGCCGUGUCUCAGUCCCAAUGUGGCCGAUCACCCUCUCAGGUCGGCUACUGAUCGUCGCCUUGGUGGGCUGUUAUCUCACCAACUAGCUAAUCAGAUGCGGGCCCAUCGUAUACCGGAUCUCUCCUUUCUUCACCAGAAGAUGCCCUCCCCAGUGACCUCAUGCGGUAUUAGUCAUCGUUUCCAAUGAUUAUUCCCCUGUAUACGGCAGGUUGCCCACACCG
rnacentral:rRNA from 1 species